rnacentral:rRNA from 1 species
AUUGAACGCUGGCGGCAUGCCUUACACAUGCAAGUCGAACGGCAGCACGGACUUCGGUCUGGUGGCGAGUGGCGAACGGGUGAGUAAUGCAUCGGAACGUACCCGGUAGUGGGGGAUAACUACCCGAAAGGGUGGCUAAUACCGCAUAUACUGUGCGCAGGAAAGCAGGGGACCUUCGGGCCUUGGGCUACCGGAGCGGCCGAUGUCAGAGUGGGUAGUUGGUGGGGUAACGGCCUACCAAGCCUGCGAUCUGUAGCGGGUCUGAGAGGAUGAUCCGCCACACUGGGACUGAGACACGGCCCAGACUCCUACGGGAGGCAGCAGUGGGGAAUUUUGGACAAUGGGCGCAAGCCUGAUCCAGCCAUGCCGCGUGAGUGAAGGAGGCCUUCGGGUUGUAAAGCUCUUUCGGACGGAAAGAGAUCGUGCAGGCUAAUACCCUGCGCGGAUGACGGUACCGUCAUAAGAAGCACCGGCUAACUACAUGCCAGCCGCCGCGGUAA